rnacentral:rRNA from 1 species
GUAGGGAAUAUUGGACAAUGGGCGAAAGCCUGAUCCAGCAAUGCCGCGUGAGUGAUGAAGGCCUUAGGGUUGUAAAGCUCUUUUACCCGAGAUGAUAAUGACAGUAUCGGGAGAAUAAGCUCCGGCUAACUCCGUGCCAGCAGCCGCGGUAAUACGGAGGGAGCUAGCGUUGUUCGGAAUUACUGGGCGUAAAGCGCACGUAGGCGGCGAUCUAAGUCAGAGGUGAAAGCCUGGAGCUCAACUCCAGAACUGCCUUUGAGACUGGAUUGCUAGAAUCCGGGAGAGGUGAGUGGAAUUCCGAGUGUAGAGGUGAAAUUCGUAGAUAUUCGGAAGAACACCAGUGGCGAAGGCGGCUCACUGGACCGGCAUUGACGCUGAGGUGCGAAAGCGUGGGGAGCAAACAGGAUUAGAAACCCUUGUAGUCC